CGCGCCCCUCCCUCUCCGCCCCCACCCCCUGUCGGCGUCUGGGCCUCGUCCCCUUCUCUCUGUCUCCCUUGCCUCCCCCAUCACGUCCCCUGACACCGACACCCCAUUGCUCCCACAGUCUCCCCAGUCUCCACUUUGGUCCCCAGCGCUGUCUGCCCGAGGAUUUGCCUGAAGGCUGCCCCCAACUCUGCACCCGCCCCCCGAGGGCCACCGAGGACCAUGACUAAGACAGAUCCUGCCCCGAUGGCCCCGCCACCCCGAGGAGAGGAGGAAGAAGAGGAGGAGGAGGAUGAACCCGUCCCCGAGGCCCCCAGCCCCACCCAGGAGCGCCGGCAGAAGCCUGUUGUGCACCCCUCGGCACCUGCCCCCCUCCCUAAGGACUACGGUAACCACUGUCCCCACCCUGGAAUCUGGCCUGGAGCGUUGGGUGGCCGGGGAGGGUGGGCUGUGCUCUGCUGGUGGUGAUGGUGGGAGAAUUCUGGGGAAUUUGAAGGUGGUCCAGAGGAAUCUUGGCUGCAGAGCACCCCUCGUUAAUUCAUUCAUUCACCCAUUGGAGAAUGGAAUUGUAAUACUCCUAGUCUUUGACUCAUGACACAUCAUUCCAUCAUUUAGUCAUUCAACAAUCAUUUUUUGAAAGCGGCUGUGGACCUGGCUUUAUGCUAGGGGCUGGGGCCACAGCAGGGGGCAAGAGAGACCCAG
rnacentral:lncRNA from 1 species